UUUCGCAAUGCCCGAAAGGGUGACGAAGCGACGCCGCGUGAGUGACGAAGGCCUUCGGGUUGUAAAGCUCUGUCAGGAGUUAAGAAAUAUAAAUUCAAGAAUAUUGGAUUUGUUUGACAAAGGCUCCAAAGGAAGCCACGGCUAACUCUGUGCCAGCAGCCGCGGUAAUACAGAGGUGGCAAGCGUUGUUCGGAAUUAUUGGGCGUAAAGAGCACGUAGGUGGAUUUGUAAGUCAGAUGUGAAAGCCUUCUGUUCAACGGAAGAAUAGCACCUGAAACUGCGAAGCUUGAGUAUAGAAGGGGAGAGUGGAACUUCUGGUGGAGCGGUGAAAUGCGUAGAUAUCAGAAGGAACGCCGGUGGCGGAAGCGACUCUCUGGUCUAUUACUGACACUGAGUGUGCGAAAGCUAGGGGAGCAAACGGGAUUAGAUACCCCGGUAGUCCUAGCUGUAAACGAUGGGCACUAAGUAGAGGGGUUUUA
rnacentral:rRNA from 1 species